GACGAACGCUGGCGGCGUGCUUAACACAUGCAAGUCGAACGGUGAAGCGCCUUCCUUUUUGGUGGGUGUGGAUGAGUGGCGAUCGGGUGAGUAACACGUGAGUAACCUGCCCCCUUCUUCUGGAUAACCGCAUGAAAGUGUGGCUAAUACGGGAUAUUCUGGGUCUGUCGCAUGAUGGGUCUGGGAAAGAUAUUGUUUCGGUGGGGGAUGGGCUCGCGGCCUAUCAGCUUGUUGGUGGGGUGAUGGCCUACCAAGGCGGUGACGGGUAGCCGGCCUGAGAGGGUGGACGGUCACACUGGGACUGAGACACGGCCCAGACUCCUACGGGAGGCAGCAGUGGGGAAUAUUGCACAAUGGGCGCAAGCCUGAUGCAGCGACGCCGCGUGAGGGAUGGAGGCCUUCGGGUUGUGAACCUCUUUCGCCAGUGAAGCAGGCCUGCCUCGUUUGUGGGUGGGUUGACGGUAGCUGGAUAAGAAGCGCCGGCUAACUACGUG
rnacentral:rRNA from 1 species